UUGAUCAUUAAUUGUUAUUAAUGGUUAUCAUAUUGUUUCGCUUGAUAAUAAUCAAUGACUCUGGUGAUGAAGACAAACCCAUAGAAGCGAUUAGAAAAAUGAUAAAUGAUGUGCCAUAGGAUCUCAAUUUAUCUUUUCACUUGCCUCUACAACUGUUCAUUUUAUCAUUAUUAUUAUUAUUAUUUUGUGUAUUAUUAUUAUCAGUUUCAUCAUAAUCAUCAUCAUCAUUACUCUUAUUCUGCAGCAAAAAAAUACUCAACUGUUUGUCUCUAAACCUAUUUGUAAAUCUUCAACUGGCUCAUCGUCUUUUUGCAUGCAAAAAUUUUCUCCUUUUUUCAUAGCCAUCAUCAAACAUAAUGGUUAAUAGUUUGUAAGCUCAUUUUUUGUCAAAUUUAGUUAAUGGAUAGAGUCAUUUUUCAAUGUUAAUAUCAGGGAAAAAGGACCAAAAUUUAUAUUUAUGGCUAUAAUAGCGAUGAAAAAAUCUAACAAUCAAAUGUUAAAAUUGUUAUCAGCAGCUAAACAGCUCUCUAUUUACUUUGUUACCAAUUUGUUAAUUGUUUUACAAUUACACAACCAAAAUCAACAACAGGAAUAUUAUAUCAACAGAAAAUGAUGGAAACAAUUUGACACCAAAUUUUAAGGUUACAAUGGAGAAACCUGGAAAUUUUGUGGAAUGUUAAUUAAACUGUUAACUCAGUUAAAUUGAUUGUCCAAUGAGUCGAGAUGUUAAUCAAGAGUCCAGUGUGAGUCUUUUCUGGUAAAUACUGAUUGAACCAGAAAAAUACUCAACAAAUGAAGCCAAAAUGCGCCCCAAUAAGUAUAAAAAGGUUAAUUAAUGUAAUCAACUGGAGCAAAGAAAAUAAUUUAUUAACUCUUACUUUGUAAUAACAUACAAAGGACAAUGUUAACCACUAUCAUCACCCACAAUUGUGCAUCAUCAUCAGCAUUACAAUGAUCCUUUUUUGUCUUCUUUCAUCAUCACCAUCAUCAUCAGCAUCAACAUCAUCAACAUCAACUUGAUCCUCUUUGAAUCAACCAACUUUUAUGUACACUUUGUCUGCCAACUAUUUGGCAAGCAAUUAAUCUUUACUCAGCAUCUUGCAGAGAGAGAUCAUCUUGAUCAUCAUCAUCAUCAUCUUGAUCAUCACAAAAAAAAGAUGGAAAGAAAGGGAAAGAUUAUAAAUCAUGUCAAGUCGUCCAUCAUCCUCUGAACAAAGGAUCAUUUCUCUUACUUUCUCCAUCUAUCUUCUUUCUUCUUCAUCUUCAUCCUCAUCGUCAGCUUUUCUCUCUCUUUUUUUGUGUGAUUUUUCUUCUUCUCUCUUCAUUCCGAGUCAUUAAAUUGCAUCGGAAACACUGGUUGUCAUUGUUCUGGUUUAUAUGUAUAUCUCUUCAACUCAUCAUCUUUUGGACUGCAGUACAUUAAUUCAAAGGAGACAAAGGAAUAAUAAGACUCAUAAGGAGAUUGACAAGGAUAUUCAAUAGGAAGGUUAAAUUGGUGAUUCAAAAGGAGGCUCAAAAGGAAUAUGGAAAAGAAAGAGAAACAAAUCUUGGAUAAUCCAGUUGAGCUUUAAGCCGAUAAACGGAAUUAGCUUGGAGAGAAGAAACAAAAUCAACUUGAAAGUGGAAAGUACAAAACUGUAACGUAUAAGACUUAUACUGACAAAGAUGAAAAGUGGAAAAGAAAAGGAAAAGUCCUCUUCAACUCAACAUCAACAAGACUUCAUCAUCUCUCUCUCUCUCUCGUUCAUCUCCAUUGUGUACAUUUAAGGUUGACGGUUUGAUUGGCAAAAGAUUGUUUUCCAAUUUAAUGUUGACAAUACAGAGCAAGCUUCCUCUUUUCCAUCUUUUCUUGUACCUGCCUAUGUAAGUGUUAGUAUGUGUUUUCGUGUGUGUGUGUGUGGCUGUUUGUCUGCAUGUCAAUAUGUUUUUUGUUUCUUGACUGUAUUUUGUUACGGAAAUUACCUGGUUACUUUCUUACAUUGUAUGCAGUUUUGUUGAACGUUUAAGAUAACAACACAGAUUUUAAGCUGCUUGAGCCAAUUCAUUGUGUAGUAAGGAGAAGAGAUUAAGGAAAAAAGACAAGUAGAUGAUGAUGGUGAUGAUGACGGUUAACAGACUGAUUAAAACACUUUGAGUUGAACCCUAACAUCGGAUUAGAUUGACAACUCAGUAAGAUGCUGUAAGUUUUCAAAAUGGUGCAUUAAAAAGGAUAAAGAUGAUGAUGGUGAUGAUGAAGACGAUGGUGAAUAGGGAUGAAAAUGAUGAAUGAUGUUUACCUAUGAGGAUAAAAGAUGAAGACGAAUUUGAUGCUAAUACUAAUUAUAAUGAUAAUGAUGGUGGUGAUAAACAACGUUCAAAACGCCUUUACAGAGCCAACAAAAUCGUGAAAAUGUGUCGUAAGUUGUUGCUGUUGAGAUUGUUUAGGAAGAUAACAGGUUUCUUUGGCCGAAAUGUUUCCCUUGAUCAUCAUGUGGAUGAUGAUGAUGAUGAUCAUCAUCUUUUACCAACCAGUUAAACUUGAAUGCUAUUCUGUUGUUCAACAAAAUGAUGUUCACACCAGGAAAGUGAUAGAUUCAUUGUUUUCCCUGGUAACCCUUAGCUUUUGAUGAUCCAUUUUAACUCCUACAGUAAAUAUACUUAUCUGUAAAAGAGAUUUUGCUUUAAAAUUGAUUGCCCGUCCAAAAAAGAAGUGAACAACAAGGAGAGGAGAGAAAAAGAAAGACACAAAAAAAGAAAGGAACGAACAGUUGAGUCAAGUCGAUGGUGCCUAGUGUGGUGAAGUUACAGUUGAGAUGGUGAUGUUGAUGAUGAUGAUGGUAAAAGUUGCAGUUUAACAGAUUAUUGAUUGUUGACUGUAGACAUCUCAUCCAUCAAGAUUACAAUUUGAAAUCGAUCAAUGUCCUCGGUCAACAGAUUCUAAUGGCUUGUCUCUCAUGAGGAAAACAAGUGAACCUCACUUUGGUCAUUCUCAUUAGUCUACUCCUCCAUUCUGGAUAAAUCACCAUCAUUAAUAUCAUCAUUCACAUCCCAAUCUAACCAGGCUAUAAUCAUUGUUGCCUGUGGCUGAUUUGAUAUCCAAGUGACCAAACUCUGGUUUAAUACAAACGUUGCAAAGCUGGUCAUCAUCACUAUAACUCGUUGAAUGCUGGCUAAAUAUCUUUAGAUGAUUGUUUGUUUUGUUUAUUGACUUAUUUUUUCAUGUGUAUUUUAUGAUUGUUUAUUGAUUGAUCCUGCAAGGUGAUAGAUUGGCAAAUAAUGGUAAUAAUGAAAUGUUAUAUGUAAUUAUUACUUGACUUUUUUUACCUUCUCUUGCUUUCUGUUAUUUGUUAUUGCCAGUGUUUUCACCAAACAAUCAAUCAAUAUGUUAAUAGUCAUUAAUAAGUACAAGUGAAAUUGAGAUUAGAUAAUAGUUAUAGUGCGAGAAAGAAAAGAUGAUAUUAAAUUUAAUUGAAUUUGAUGGUUGAAAUGUAUUAACGUUAAGUGUUGGUGAAGCAAAACAAACUAAUCAGCUAAACUUAUUUUAUUUUACCUAAUAACAUCGACAAUGUAUUUUAUUAUUAUUAUCCUGGAUUUGUAUUUGCAGAGUAUUACAUUUAAUGGUAGCUAAUUAUUUUUUUGCUAACCAUAAUCUGAUUGAUUUAAACAGUAUUUACUUGUUAACAUUCGGUUAUUAAGUUGAUGGCAACUUGAGAGAAGUUGAUGAUCUCUAAUGGUAAGUAAUAAAUUGAAAUAAUGAUGAUGAUUAUGUUGAUGAUUAGAGUUUAAGUCUUAAAUCAUCAACUGUCAUGAAUUUCACUUGAAAAAGAUUAAAAUAUUUCAAUAAAAAUUGGUAUCAACAAGGAUUAAUGUCAAUCAUUUUGUGAACAAAAAAAGCAUAAUGCAAAAGAUUCAGGUUUCCAUUGAGUUUACAGGCAAAGGAAAAUUAGAAUGAAAAUUAUCAAUAAUCCAAUGAUUAACUUUAAAUACCAGGUAAUCACAAUAUAUUGAAACCUUUUAAUAAUUGAAUUUUUAAUGCUGUUGCUAUUAAUAGAUGUAAUACUGAAGACACUUGCCAAAUGAACUGAAUUUGCAGUUUAUUGAAUCACUUGAGUAAUGGCAACAUUGUAAUGGAUAAUUUAUAUAUCAAUAGAGAGGAAAUGUGUUAAUUAAGCUGUUAAAUCUGUUUCACGAUUUACUUGGUUAAUUCAGUUGACAAUUGUAAUUAAAUUGUUUCUCUCGGUGAAUUGAUAUUCUCACUUGUAGACUAUUUUCACCUUUUUAUUGGCUUUUCCAAUUACAUAUUCCAGGUGAGUAAAACACAGACACGUUUCCAUAUGUUGACUGUGUAACGCUGUAAAAUUAAGGUCUAACUUUAAUGAGAGACAACAAUUGAUUAAUGGUUAAUUUAUUCAAAUCUAAAAGGUAUUGUUGUGAGUGUGUUUUUUCAUUUGCACCUUUUCACGAUUACACGAGAAAAAAAAAAUGAGAAGCAUUCGGCUGAUUGAGAAGUUAACUUGUUUGAAGGUUACCUGUUAAAAUUGGUAAAAAUUAGAGGCGUUCAAUGUUGAUAAAAAUAUGAGAAGGUUGAAAGUUGAAGUUGUUGAUGAUAAUGAAGUAGAAGAUGAUGUUGAUGUUGAUGAUGAUGAUAAUGAUGGUGAUGGUGAUGAAGAAAUUGAAAGCAAAUCUUGAGUUAAAUCAGCGGGAAGUAAAAAUAAGAAACAUGGUUGAAGCUGUCAAAAAACGUGUUAAACAUGUCAAUAUGAUGAAAGGAAAUAAGGUUGAGCAUAUAACAUGUUUAACAAGCUUAAUUAUUGUUGAUUUAUCAAUCAAUUGAUUACUAAUAAGCUACAAUCGAAGCGAUAAUAUUUCAUGUUACCAGGUUAACAAUGAUAAUUGACAAUUAUUGCAAAUUUUGCUCAAAAAUUGUUGAUAAUUUUCAUGUUGUACCAACAAUUUUUAUCGACGAAUGAUCAUUUUAAGCUCUAACUUUUACGGCCACAGAAAGCAGUCGAUCUAAUUGAAAAUCGAAGUGAUCGGCUGUACAUUUUCUGAUUUUUCAUCAAAAGUUACAUCAUUGAAUUGAGUUUGAUGAAAAAAUCUGGUUCCAUAAUUGAACGAAAGGCGGCUAAAGUUUCAACUUUGAUCUCGAUUUUUUCGAAAACUAAACCUGAGUUUAAAAUUAUAUUUGCUCUAAUCAGUUUUGCUCUUAAAUGUCUUAGCGCAAAAGGUUUUUGCUCAAACUUUUUUGCUCAAAAUAACUCAAAUCGUUUCAUUUUCAUGUUUAAUUUCAGUGUUAAUUAUUGUUUUUAAAUUAAUAUUUGAUUUCCUCUGUUUUUGAUUUGGUUUACUUCAUCUAAAUCACCAUCCAAACUGAAAUAUUAUCAACACUGGUUUGGGAUUGAAAGUCAACAACAGCUUUAACAUCAUGUUCAAGUGGAUAAUUGAAUAGUUGAAUAAGAAACAAUCAAACUGUCAACAUAAUUAUUUAAGUUACAAGAGGUACAAUUAAGUUGGGAAGUAAACAAAAGCAACACCUCAGCACCUCGAAGGAAAAUUGUUGGUGAUGUCAGGGGAAGAAAGAAAAUAUCAUCGAAAUAUGAAGGCGUUGGAAGAUAAAAAAUGGUAAAGAUAAUGAUUAUGAUAAAAAAUGAUGAGUAAAUCAAAGGAGAAGAAAAAAGUUGAGGUGAUUUAUCUGACAAGAAGGUUGAACCCAAAUCACACCUUGUUACUCAGUUUGAUGUUCAUUAAAAAGGGCUGAUGAUAAAGAGAUGAAGAAUGAGCUUGAGAUGAAUGAAAAUUAUGGUCAUGACUAUGAUUAUGAUGAUGAAGGUUUGGACAUGAAGUAACAAUUUGAUGAAUUGAAUGACUGAUGAAGCCAAUUGGAACCAGAAAAGCUCAAUGAUAAAUCCAUUCUUUUUCAAUCAUUAACAUGUUAUUCAUCUUUUGCUUAAUCUAAUUGACUGAAUAACUAUUGAAAAGUCUAACAAGUUAAACUUGAUUAUGAUUAUGGUGAUGAGAAAAUUCUGGCCACCCAUUGUUUAAUCUCAAUCUUAAUCAUCACCAUUCCCAUCAAUUGAUGAACAUCAUUUAUCCAUCCAAUUGUAACCUUAUCAUUCUAAUUUCCAUUUUCACCGAUCAUUCAACCCAUUUUGCUGAUAAUUCAAUACAUAACCAGAUGAUAAUGGAAGGAUUUUUUUCUUGAAACCUCCAAUAGAUAUUAAUCAACAAAUUGGCGUUUCUUCACGACUCUUCAAGAUGACAGCAUUGCUGUGAUUCAAAUGACUCUGGUCAAGUAUCGAUAACAAUGAAUAACUUGACUUUUUAAUCAAAUUAAAAGAGUAACGAUUGUGAGAUGAUUAUGACUAGUCCAUCGACAGCUUCGGAGCAAUUCAACUGAUUAAUUCCAUGGUUUCUCUGUUUGGAUUAUACAUGGCAAUUCAAACUCUUCACGUUUGGUCCAACAGCUCAUAUUGGAACUGUAUGCUUUGAGAUUUGGAGGGCGAAAUUUCAAGAUCAGUUGUUGAUUCCAAAACGACCUUUAAAGACCAUUUUCAGGUUGUUUGUUCAUCUGAUUGGAUCAGUCCUGUGAAACUAUCAACAUGAUUAUGAACAUGAAUACGAGUGAGGAUAAUUGAUGGCUAAAAUGGAUGAUGAAUAUGAAUGGUUAAUAUGGAUGAUAAACUUUGGUUGUUAAACUUGGAUGUAACUUAUGCAGUUUGCUGAAUAAGAUGAAUUCUUGGUGAAUUAACUUUCCUACUUUUUGUUGCUGUUGAUAAAUUAAGUUGGCGUUAAGUUAUUCAAGGAAUUUACAGGAAUCAUUCAAGAUUAUUAUGUCCACAAUAAUAAUAGUUAGAUAAUCAUCAUGCCUACCCAAAAAUUCUUGCCUGGUAAAUCCACUAUUAUUAAAUUGUAUUAAUUUGGCCUGAUAAUCACCAGCAACAACAGUACCCUCAGCAUCACUUUUUAUUGUACAGGAAUAACUGAAAGUCAAUUCUCACCCUCUUAACCCAUCACUGAUCAAUUUGAAUAGGAAACAAUAAUCUCACAAGUUUUUCUGGUUAGGUUAACAUGAAAAGGUUGAUCCUGUUUUUUUUCAUUUGCCUCUGUUAACCAACUAACAAGGGAAUAUAUUUAUUAUUGUUGAUUUUUUCACUAUUUACUUUCUUAAUAGUCAAUAAUUUAACACUUGAUUAUACCACCACCGCCAGUAAGCAAGUUAAUUGUGAACAAAUUGCUGUUCCCUAUUAACUUUCAAGAUUCCUUUGGGUUGUUGAGCCUUAGCAAAGUAUCUGGUAACUCAAUGUUUACUCAACUCUGUUGAUUUAGCUUUUUUUAAUCUCUUCUUCAUGUUAAUUUAAUUUAAUGAUGAAUACAAGCAAACAAAAAGGUUCACACUUUUUUUUAUAUACCAGGAAUUUAAUCAACAGGAAUUUCAAUCAAAAAAUCAUUGAUACUCUCAGAUUUUUUAGGUUUCCUAUUCAUGAUAUUACAUGGAGCAAGUGAAGGCUUACAAGAAAUAUUUUUUAAAUAAACGCAAAACGUUUAAUUGCUGCAUUAAUAGUAUCAUUAACUUAAGGUAACAUUUUGAAAUGAAAUAACAACAAAUCGUGAGUCUGAGUUGAUAA